CCUACGGGAGGCAGCAGUGGGGAAUAUUGGACAAUGGGCCACAAGCCUGAUCCAGCAAUUCUGUGUGCACGAUGAAGGUCUUCGGAUCGUAAAGUGCUUUCAGUAGGGAAGAAAAAAAUGACGGUACCUACAGAAGAAGCGACGGCUAAAUACGUGCCAGCAGCCGCGGUAAUACGUAUGUCGCAAGCGUUAUCCGGAAUUAUUGGGCGUAAAGCGCGUCUAGGCGGUCUUUUAAGUCUGAUGUUAAAAUGCGGGGCUCAACUCCGUAUUGCGUUGGAAACUGGAAGACUAGAGUAUCAGAGAGGUGGGCGGAACUACAAGUGUAGAGGUGAAAUUCGUAGAUAUUUGUAGGAAUGCCGAUUGGGAAGCCAGCUCACUGGAUGAAUACUGACGCUGAAGCGCGAAAGCGUGGGGAGCAAACGGGAUUAGAUACCCCGGUAGUCCACGCCGUAAACGAUGAUCACUAAGUGUGGGGGGUCGAACCUCCGUGCUCAAGCUAACGCGAUAAGUGAUCCGCCUGGGGAGUACGCACGCAAGUGUGAAACUCAAAGGAAUUGACGG
rnacentral:rRNA from 1 species